rnacentral:lncRNA from 1 species
AUGGACCUCUGUGUGCAGGACCCCUACCACACCUGGACUGAGGUGAACAGGAGAACAGAGUCCAGCAAACAGACCCACAAAUUGAGUUUGAGCUUAGCUGUAGAUUUCACACAGCUGGGCAUGAUGGAAGUAACUAGGCAUUUCGGUCAGACGCAGGAAGCUGAGCCGGUACGUCCGGAUGGGCCAGGCGGAAAGGAGCAUCGAGAGAAUCUGGUAAAAUUGGGUCCAACCGGUCACAUCAUCAGAAUAUGUGUUUCCCACUUGAAGUCCUCUCUGGAACUGUUGCAACCCGCCACGUGCCAUAGAAACACAUCGGCUCAUAAGACUGUCUACAGAUUCUUGCCAAAAACUGUCUGCUGCUCACUCGAAGAUUGUUUCUCCCCUUUCUGUCCCCCAAAAAGAAAAACCAAUGGUCUUCCUAAAAAGCUUACUUUCCUUUACAGAAGUUUCUCUUGUUUCUCCCAAUAAAAGUUUUUCAAAUUUUUAUCACUCUUUUCCACUCUUCUGUCCGAUCACUUGUCUACUUGUCCUUCGCAGGGAACUUAACCUCCUUAUGGGAGUGACACGUUUACUCAUUCGUCUAACUCGGUUUGGUCUCUGCUUUUCUUCCCCACUGAGUCCCUUUUACACAGGCUUUAUGGAAA